UUUUUCUUUUUUAUUUUUUUGAGUCAGAGUUUCGCUCUUGUUGCCCAGACUGGAGUGCAGUGGCGUGAUCUCGGCUCACUGCAACCUCUGCCUCCGGGAUUCAAGCGAGUCUCCUGCCUCAGCCUCCUGAGUAGCUGGGAUUACGGGCAUGCACCACUGUACCUAAUUUUGUAUUUUCAGUAGAGACGGGAUUUCUCCAUGUUGGUCAGGCUGGUCUCGAACUCCUAACCUCAGGUGAUCUACCCACCUCGGCCUCCCAAAGUGCUGGGAUUACAGGCGUGAGUCACCGUGCCGGCCAGUAGAGAAUUUCUUUCCAUACCCACAGUGCCCUUCUGUCAGAAGAAGGGCACCUGGAGUGCAAUAAGGAUGAUGAGUGACAUCAUAGUUCAUUAUCCUCUGUCCUUUCCAAGUACUCUCUAAUUCAGACUCUAUUUAAUUUUAAAAGGCAGCGUCGUUCUUCUUCAGGAGCUUGGAGAGAAAUAAUCCUUACCCAGUGAAGUGAGUGAGCCCUUCCAUCCUUUCUUUCCCAAACACCACCAUGUAAGGUGUAUAAUCGUGUAUAAAAUCAGCAGAUUAUAUAUCAGAGGGUUAUGAGGAAACUAGAGACUGAGUUAUAUUAUUCCUAUGAAUCCUCAGCUAUAGGUGUAGUCCAGGAGUAAUAGUCUCGGCAUGCAUGUUACAUUUGUGUAAUUUCAUCAAAGAUAUAUCUUUUGAUGCCUAUUGAGCUCUGAAACCUGGAUAAAGCUUCUGUCAUACACAGUAUAUUCACAGGAUUUCUCUGUUAUGAACUCUGAUGUCUGUUAAUGCUUAAACUCAUCAGAAGUUUGCCAGUCACUGCAUUUGUAAGAAUUGUCUCAAGAAUGAAUUCCCGAUGUUGUGAAAUAAGUAAUUUGUGGCUGAACAACUUGCCACACUCCUUUGUAAGGUUACUUUUUCUGUGUGUGUGUGUGUGUGUGUGUGUGUGUGUAUGAUGGAGUUUCACUCUUGUUGCCCAAGCUGGAGUGCAAUGGCAUGAUCUCCCUCACUGCAAUCUCCGCCUCCCAGGUUCAAGUGAUUCUCCUGCCUCAUCCUCCUGAGUAGCUGGGAUUACAGGCAUGCACCACCAUGCCCAGCUAAUUUUUGUGUUUUUAGUAAAGACAGCAUUUCAUCAUGUUGGCCAGCCUGGUCUUGAACUCGCGACCUCAGGUGAUCUGCCUUCCUCGGCUUCUCAAAGUGCUGGGAUUACAGGCAUGAGCCACCACACCUGGCGUCCUUUGUAAGGUUUCUAUCCACUAUGAAUUCUUCGAUGUUUUGCAAGGUUUGAAUUUUGAGUGAAGACCUUGCCACAUUCGUUACAUUUGUAAGGUUUGUCUCCAGUAUGGAUUGCCAUAUGGGUAGUUAGGGUUGAGCGAACACUAAAGGCUUUCCCACACUCAUUACACCUGUAAGGUUUUUCUCCAGUGUGAAUUCUUCUAUGAUUUGCAAGAUGUGAAUUCUGAGUGAAGACCUUGCCACAUUCAUUACAUUUGUAAGGUUUUUCUCCAGUGUGGAUGACCUGAUGGGUAGCUAGGUUUGAAUGUACACUAAAUGCUUUGCCACACUCAUUACACUUGUAAGGUUUCUCACCAGUGUGAAUUCUCUGAUGAACUGCAAGGUAUGAACUGUGCCUGAAGACCUUGCCACAAUCAUUACAUUUGUAUGGUUUUUGUCCAGUAUGUAUUGUCUGAUGGAUAGUUAGGCUUGAAUGAACACUAAAGGCUCUGCCACACUCAUUACACUUGUAAGGUUUUUCUCCAGUAUGAACUCUCCAGUGCCUUGCAAGUUGUGACGUUUGACUGAAGGCUUUACCACAUUCACCACACUUGUAAGGUUUUGCUCCAGAAUGAAUUCCCCGAUGACUUGCAAGGUGUGAAUUUUGUGUGAAGACCUUACCACAGUCAUUACAUUUGUAAGGCUUUUCUCCAGUAUGAAUUGCCUGAUGGGUAGUUAGGCUUGAUCGCCUGUAAUCCCAGCACUUUCUCUCCAGUAUGAAUUCUUUGAGGUCAGUGUGAAUACUGAGUGA
rnacentral:lncRNA from 1 species